CAGGGAUAAGAUUAGCCAAAACGCAAAAAAGCUGAAUUUCCACGAUAGCAAAUUUUACGCAAGAGUAACCCUUUAAUAAUAAAUUCCAGACAGUUUAAGGUAAUAAAUAAUGUGUUGACAUACAAUUGUGUACUAAUCUAUUAUUAUAAAAACGGUUACAUUGAUACUUAACAUUUAGUGAA